AUAAAAGCCAGGAUGUCACCCCAAAAGAGGAGAGCUCAAUAUGGCCAAAAGGGAGGUUGCCCAAAUUAGUCACUAGACACCCUGCUGGAACAGAAGAGACAAAAUUGUAGCAGAGAGAAAACAACACCUGCAUUGAAUCCAAGACACAAGGAUAGGAUGUGACUGAGUAAGACGUGGCUCACCUGAGAGACUGAGAGAACGCGGGACAGCAGGCGAAGGGGAAAAGUCGGGAUUGACUUGGAUUGUUAAGGAGUUGGCUCCUAGUGAACGCAGACAUCAUGUAUGAGUGCCUAGAAGCAAGCACUUAGCCACUGAUGCUCGUCUAAAGAAGACAUUUUGUCUUGAAAACUGUCAGGUGCCAUUUUGAAUAUCACCUGCAUUUAGAAGCAGAACAAACUGAAAUAAAGUCAAAGCCCGAAUUUGAAAAACAAACUACUCACCUUCCAUCUUUGAUGACAAAAUCAGAAGUCAUUUGCAAAGCAAUUGCCAUGCUAGGCAACUUCAAAAUGGGGUCCCGAUAUCCCAGGAUAGGAAGUGAUGUUCCACAGCUGGAGAUGAUCACCCAUGUUCCAUCACACCAUUUAGAUCAACCCUCAGUGAAUUCCCAGAACUUCUCCAAAAGUUCAGAAUCAUUCAUUUCCUCUCUCCCUUUGCGAUGGAUACAUUUUACUCAGUAUAGAUAAAUUCUGAGGUUUAUUAUUAAUAUACAAGCAUAAUGUAAG
rnacentral:lncRNA from 1 species